AAUGAACGCUGGCGGCAGGCCUAACACAUGCAAGUCGAACGGAUCCUUCGGGAUUAGUGGCGGACGGGUGAGUAACGCGUGGGAACAUACCCUUUGGUACGGAAUAGCCUCGGGAAACUGGGAGUAAUACCGUAUGUGGUCGAGAGACGAAAGAUUUAUCGCCAAAGGAUUGGCCCGCGUUGGAUUAGGUAGUUGGUGGGGUAAUGGCCUACCAAGCCGACGAUCCAUAGCUGGUUUGAGAGGAUGAUCAGCCACACUAGGACUGAGACACGGCCCAGACUCCUACGGGAGGCAGCAGUGGGGAAUCUUAGACAAUGGGGGAAACCCUGAUCUAGCCAUGCCGCGUGUUCGAUGAAGGCCUUAGGGUUGUAAAGAUCUUUCAGGUGGGAAGAUAAUGACUGUACCACCAGAAGAAGCCCCGGCUAACUCCGUGCCAGCCGCCGCAGUAACAC
rnacentral:rRNA from 1 species